UGGGGAAUUUUGGACAAUGGGCGAAAGCCUGAUCCAGCAAUGCCGCGUGUGUGAAGAAGGCCUUCGGGUUGUAAAGCACUUUUGUCCGGAAAGAAAUGGCUCUGGUUAAUACCUGGGGUCGAUGACGGUACCGGAAGAAUAAGGACCGGCUAACUACGUGCCAGCAGCCGCGGUAAUACGUAGGGUCCAAGCGUUAAUCGGAAUUACUGGGCGUAAAGCGUGCGCAGGCGGUUGUGCAAGACCGAUGUGAAAUCCCCGAGCUUAACUUGGGAAUUGCAUUGGUGACUGCACGGCUAGAGUGUGUCAGAGGGGGGUAGAAUUCCACCUGUAGCAGUGAAAUGCGUAGAGAUGUGGAGGAAUACCGAUGGCGAAGGCAGCCCCCUGGGAUAACACUGACGCUCAUGCACGAAAGCGUGGGGAGCAAACAGG
rnacentral:rRNA from 1 species